GAGGCUGUUUCCAGAUUUGAACCC
rnacentral:miRNA from 1 species